rnacentral:rRNA from 1 species
AACGAACGCUGGCGGCAUGCCUAACACAUGCAAGUCGAACGAGACCUUCGGGUCUAGUGGCGCACGGGUGCGUAACGCGUGGGAACCUGCCCUUUGGUUCGGAAUAACUUCCCGAAAGGGUUGCUAAUACCGGAUAAUGUCUUCGGUCCAAAGAUUUAUCGCCUUUGGAUGGGCCCGCGUUGGAUUAGCUAGUUGGUAGGGUAAAAGCAUAGCAAGGCGACGAUCCAUAGCUGGUCUGAGAGGAUGAUCAGCCACGCUGGGACUGAGACACGGCCCAGACUCCUACGGGAGGCAGCAGAAGGGAAUAUUGGACAAGGGGCGAAAGCCUGAUCCAGCAAUGCCGCGUGAGUGAUGAAGGCCUUAGGGUUGUAAAGCUCUUUUACACGGGAUGAUAAUGACAGUACCGGGAGAAUAAGCUCCGGCUAACUCCGUG